rnacentral:rRNA from 1 species
CAUAGCGACUAUCGUGGCAUAUCAAUAAGCGGAAGAAAAGAAACUAACUAAGGAUUCCCUUAGUAACGGCGAGUGAAGCGGGAAGAGCUCAAAUUUGAAAUCUUCAAGGUUCUACCUUGACGAAUUGUAGUUUAUAGAAGUGUUUUCUGUUAGUAGAGUGGCAAAAGUUCUUUGGAAUAGGACAUCAUAGAGGGUGAGAAUCCCGUAUUUGGUCAUUCCUUCCUAGCUUUGUGAUACACUUUCAACGAGUCGGAUUGUUUGGGAAUGCAGUCCAAAAUGGGUGGUAAAUUUCAUCUAAAGCUAAAUAUUGGCGAGAGACCGAUAGCGAACAAGUACCGUGAGGGAAAGAUGAAAAGAACUUUGAAAAGAGAGUUAAACAGUACGUGAAAUUGUCAAAAGGGAAGCGUUUGACACCAGUGUUGUUUAGUUGAAAAUCAAUUCAAUAGUUUUUGAUUCUAAGUAGUAUUGACUUCAUCAGCUUGCUGCUUUCUUCUCAGAAAUUAUUGAAUGCACUUUUCAGUUAACAAGUCAACAUCAAUUUCUUUUGUUGUAAAAAGGUAAGAGGAAGGUGGCUUGCGCUUCGGCUCAAGUGUUUAUAGCCUUUUACCCCUGCAGUCGGAGAGAUUGAGGUCUGCAGCGUAGAUCCUUCGGGGUUAGAUACAUUUGUGCUAAGCUAUAGCCUUGUAUAGACAACUUGUUGACUAUGCUCAGUCAUGUAGCUUACUCACUUAUGCUAUUUUACCUACGCUUAGGAUGUUGACGAGACUGUCGAUCUC